rnacentral:rRNA from 1 species
GAUGAACGCUGGCGGCGUGCCUAAUACAUGCAAGUCGAGCGAACGGACGAGAAGCUUGCUUUUCUGAUGUUAGCGGCGGACGGGUGAGUAACACGUGGAUAACCUACCUAUAAGACUGGGAUAACUUCGGGAAACCGGAGCUAAUACCGGAUAAUAUUUUGAACCGCAUGGUUCAUAAGUGAAAGACGGUCUUGCUGUCACUUAUAGAUGGAUCCGCGCUGCAUUAGCUAGUUGGUAAGGUAACGGCUUACCAAGGCAACGAUGCAUAGCCGACCUGAGAGGGUGAUCGGCCACAAUGGAACUGAGACACGGUCCAGACUCCUACGGGAGGCAGCAGUAGGGAAUCUUCCGCAAUGGGCGAAAGCCUGACGGAGCAACGAAGCGUGAGUGAUGAAGGUCUUCGGAUCGUAAAACUCUGUUAUUAGGGAAGAACAUAUGUGUAAGUAACUGUGCAAAUCGUGACGGUACCUAAUCAGAAAGCCACGGCUAACUACGUG